AUGCUCGCUUUGGCAGCACAUGUACUAAAAUUGGAACAAUACUGAGAAGAUUACCAUGGCCCCUGUGCAACGAUGACAUGAAAAUUAGUGAAGCACUCCAUAUUUUU